rnacentral:lncRNA from 1 species
GGCAGACGGACAUGUACACCUUACAAUUCAUUCAUACACCAAAUGUAGUGACCUUAUUAGUCCCCUACUGACAAAGUUGAAGGGGACUUUAAGUUUGAAUCUGUCUGUACAGCAAAUCAGUUUUUCAUACUUUUGUUCUUCGUGCUUGAAUAUAUUGAUUUGAUAUUUGGUGUAUUGUUUUAUCAUAAGUUACAGAUCAAGUUCGUAUUUUGUUUCAGUAUGAU